rnacentral:rRNA from 1 species
GACGUAGGGCGCGAGCGUUGUCCGGAAUUAUUGGGCGUAAAGAGCUCGUAGGCGGCUUGUUGCGUCGUCCGUGAAAUCCCGUGGCUCAACCGCGGGCUUGCGGACGAUACGGGCAGGCUAGAGUUCGGUAGGGGAGACUGGAAUUCCUGGUGUUGCGGUGAAAUGCGCAGAUAUCAGGAGGAACACCGGUGGCGAAGGCGGGUCUCUGGGCCGAUACUGACGCUGAGGAGCGAAAGCGUGGGGAGCAAACAGG